AUUGAACGCUGGCGGCAUGCUUUACACAUGCAAGUCGAACGGCAGCGCGGGCUUCGGCCUGGCGGCGAGUGGCGAACGGGUGAGUAAUGCAUUGGAACGUGCCCAGUAGUGGGGGAUAGCCCGGCGAAAGCCGGAUUAAUACCGCAUACGACCUGAGGGUGAAAGCGGGGGACCGAAAGGCCUCGCGCUAUUGGAGCGGCCGAUGUCGGAUUAGCUAGUUGGUGGGGUAAAGGCUUACCAAGGCGACGGUCCGUAGCUGGUCUGAGAGGACGACCAGCCACACUGGGACUGAGACACGGCCCAGACUCCUACGGGAGGCAGCAGUGGGGAAUUUUGGACAAUGGGGGCAACCCUGAUCCAGCCAUGCCGCGUGCGGGAAGAAGGCCUUCGGGUUGUAAACCGCUUUUGUUCGGGAAGAAAUCCUCUGGGCUAAUACCCCGGGGGGAUGACGGUACCGGAAGAAUAAGCACCGGCUAACUACGUG
rnacentral:rRNA from 1 species